UCAGCAGUCAAGAAUAUUAGUCAAUGCUCGAAAGAGUGAACUAGCUAACUGAAAUCAAUUUAAAAUUGAUAACAUAAGGGAAAAUAAUGAUAUUACCUUAUUAUUAGUGUCGUCCAAAACUCGGUGCCAGAAGACUCGGUAAGGCCAGAGACACAAACGUUAAUCGUCUUAAUCAGGCGUAAAGGGUUUGUAGGCGGCUUUUAAUUUACUUAUAAAAAAUUUUUAAAAAGUUAAAAUAAGUUAAGAAUAAAAGCUAGAAUCAAAUAGAGGAUAUAUUAAAUAAUGCUUAGAGUAGGUCUGAUAUCCAUAGAUACUAAGUAGAAUAUUAAAGGCGAAAGCUUUUUUCCAUAAAUGAUUGACGCUCAGAAACGAAGGUGAGGAUAGGAAAUAGGAUUAGAUACCCAAAAUACCCCUCUCUGUCAACGAUGAAUGGUAAUUAUUAAUAAAUUUAUUAAUGAUUAUGUUAACACGAUAACCAUUCCGCCUUGUGAGUACAACUGCAAAGUUGAAAACAAAAAAAUUAGUCGGUUUCGGAGCAAACGAAGUGAAGCAUGUUAUUUAAUUCGAUAAAUCCGCAAAA
rnacentral:rRNA from 1 species